rnacentral:rRNA from 1 species
GACGAACGCUGGCGGCGUGCUUAACACAUGCAAGUCGAGCGGAAAGGCCCUUCGGGGUACUCGAGCGGCGAACGGGUGAGUAACACGUGAGUAACCUGCCCCAGACUUUGGGAUAACCCUCGGAAACGGGGGCUAAUCCCGGAUACGACACAGCUUCGCAUGGGGUCUGUGUGGAAAGUUUUUCGGUUUGGGAUGGGCUCGCGGCCUAUCAGCUUGUUGGUGGGGUGAUGGCCUACCAAGGCGACGACGGGUAGCCGGCCUGAGAGGGCGACCGGCCACACUGGGACUGAGGCACGGCCCAGACUCCUACGGGAGGCAGCAGUGGGGAAUAUUGCACAAUGGGCGGAAGCCUGAUGCAGCGACGCCGCGUGAGGGAUGACGGCCUUCGGGUUGUAAACCUCUUUCAGCAGGGACGAAGCGUAAGUGACGGUACCUGCAGAAGAAGCGCCGGCCAACUACGUG